GGAAUACAAAAUAGAGAGUUGGACAAACACGAGACCCUGGACACACCAGAGAUGGGAUUAGAUGCCUAGGAGUAGUAACUAUCCCCUGUCGAACGAUUUUGGGACUCCUACUGAAAUCAUCAAGUUUCUGGGCCAGAUGACUGUAGAAACUGUACCUGCUUCUUUACCUCCUCCAAUGAAAAACAUUGAUUCAGAAUAACAG